GACGAACGCUGGCGGCGUGCCUAACACAUGCAAGUCGAACGGAGUAUUCAGCAAUGGAUAUUUAGUGGCGAACGGGUGAGUAACGCGUAGACAACCUGCCUUCUAGAUGGGGACAACACCGCGAAAGUGGUGCUAAUACCGAAUGUUGUAACUUUGCUGCAUGGCAUGAGUUACUAAAGGUGGCCUCUAUUUAUAAGCUAUCUCUAGAAGAUGGGUCUGCGUCUGAUUAGCUAGUUGGUGAGGUAAUGGCUCACCAAGGCGAAGAUCAGUAGCGGGUCUGAGAGGAUGAACGGUCACAUUGGGACUGAGACACGGCCCAGACUCCUACGGGAGGCAGCAGUGGGGAAUCUUCCGCAAUGGACGAAAGUCUGACGGAGCAACGCCGCGUGAGUGAAGAAGGUUUUCGGAUCGUAAAGCUCUGUCUUCAGGGACGAAUGUACAGUUUGUGAAUAAUGAAUUGUAAUGACGGUACCUGAGGAGGAAGCCACGGCUAACUACGUGCCAGCCGCCGCCGUAA
rnacentral:rRNA from 1 species